AGGACUAACGCUGGCGGCGUGCCUAACACAUGCAAGUCGAGCGGGGUAGCAAUACCCAACGGCAGACGGGUGAGUAACGCGUGGUCAACCUUCCGAUGAGUGGGGGAUAACUAGCCGAAAGGUUAGCUAAUACCGCAUACGAUCUUCAAGCGGCAUCGCGUGAAGAUGAAAGGAGCAAUUCGCUCAUCGACGGGACCGCGUCCCAUUAGCUAGAUGGUGGGGUAAUGGCCUACCAUGGCGACGAUGGGUAGCUGGUUUGAGAGAGCGACCAGCCACACUGGGACUGAGAAACGGCCCAGACUCCUACGGGAGGCAGCAGUGAGGAAUUUUCCGCAAUGGGCGCAAGCCUGACGGAGCGACGCCGCGUGUGGGAAGAAGGCCUUCGGGUCGUAAACCACUGUCGAAGGGGACGAUAAUGACGGUACCCUUGGAGGAAGCCCGGCUAACUACGCGCCAGCAGCCGC
rnacentral:rRNA from 1 species